rnacentral:rRNA from 1 species
GGAUCAUUACAAGUGACCCCGGUCUAACCACCGGGAUGUUCAUAACCCUUUGUUGUCCGACUCUGUUGCCUCCGGGGCGACCCUGCCUUCGGGCGGGGGCUCCGGGUGGACACUUCAAACUCUUGCGUAACUUUGCAGUCUGAGUAAACUUAAUUAAUAAAUUAAAACUUUUAACAACGGAUCUCUUGGUUCUGGCAUCGAUGAAGAACGCAGCGAAAUGCGAUAAGUAAUGUGAAUUGCAGAAUUCAGUGAAUCAUCGAAUCUUUGAACGCACAUUGCGCCCCCUGGUAUUCCGGGGGGCAUGCCUGUUCGAGCGUCAUUUCACCACUCAAGCCUCGCUUGGUAUUGGGCAACGCGGUCCGCCGCGUGCCUCAAAUCGACCGGCUGGGUCUUCUGUCCCCUAAGCGUUGUGGAAACUAUUCGCUAAAGGGUGUUCGGGAGGCUACGCCGUAAAACAACCCCAUUUCUAAGGUUGACCUCGGAUCAGGUAGGGAUACCCG